rnacentral:rRNA from 1 species
AAACUAGGAUUAGAUACCCUUUUAUGAUGCGUAAAGGUAUUAUGUGAUAUUCUUUAAACCUAAGGAUUCUGGCGGUCUCUUUUCUUUUCAGAGGGGCUUGCUUUGUAAUCGAUGGUCCUCGUUUAUUUUUUCUUUUUCUUUUAGUUUAUAUACCUCCGUUUGAAGAUGAAUAUUAGUUUUUCUCUCUUUUUAAGUUGUUAUUAAAUUCAGGUCAAGGUUUAGCUUAUGGAUGAGAUAAAGUUAGCCAUGUGUUUUUGUUUUUUUUUUAAUGAAGUUUUUAGGAUUUGUUGGUAAAGUUUUAGUAGAUUUUAAACUUGAAUUAGCUAAAAGGUAUGCACAUAUCGCCCGUCACUCUUUAUAAGAUAAGUCGUAACAUAGUA